rnacentral:rRNA from 1 species
CCGGAGCCGCACGCGCGCUACAUUGAAGGACGCAGCGUGUAAAUUCCCUGUCCGACAGGACUGGGUAACCCGAUGAAUUUCCUUCGUGCUGGGGAUUGCGAAUUGCAAUUACUCGCAUGAACGAGGAAUUCCUAGUAAGUGCGAAUCAUUAAUUCGCGUUGACUUGGUCCCUGCCCCUUGUACACACCGCCCGUCGCUACAGUCGAUUGAAUGAUGGAGUGAGGGCUUCGGACUGGCGCCCGGGCUGGCCUUCGGAUCGGGCCGGAGCGUCGGAAAGAUGUCCGAACUUGAUUAUUUAGAGACUGUAAAAGUCGUAACAAGGUUACC